GGUUUAAUUCGAUGAUACGCGAGGAACCUUACCCGGGCUUGAAUUGCAGAGGAAGGAUUUGGAGACAAUGACGCCCUUCGGGGCCUCUGUGAAGGUGCUGCAUGGUUGUCGUCAGCUCGUGCCGUGAGGUGUCGGCUUAAAGUGCCAUAACGAGCGCAACCCCUCUCCUUAGUUGCCAUCAGGUAAAGCUGGGCACUCUGGGGACACUGCCACCGUAAGGUGUGA
rnacentral:rRNA from 1 species